rnacentral:rRNA from 1 species
UGAGGAAUAUUGGGCAAUGGGCGCAAGCCUGACCCAGCCAUGCCGCGUGCAGGAUGACAGCCCUAUGGGUUGUAAACUGCUUUUAUUAGGAAAGAAACCCCCGUUCGUGAACGGGGCUGACGGUACCUAAAGAAUAAGGAUCGGCUAACUCCGUGCCAGCAGCCGCGGUAAUACGGAGGAUCCAAGCGUUAUCCGGAUUUAUUGGGUUUAAAGGGUGCGUAGGCGGGAUAAUAAGUCAGUGGUGAAAUCUUCCGGCUCAACUGGGAAACUGCCAUUGAUACUGUUGUUCUUGAGUGUAUUUGAGGUGGGCGGAAUGUGUCAUGUAGCGGUGAAAUGCUUAGAUAUGACACAGAACGCCGAUUGCGUAGGCAGCUCACCAAACUACAACUGACGCUGAGGCACGAAAGCGUGGGGAUCAAACAGG